CGCGUGCGGGGAAGAAGGCCUUCGGGUUGUAAACCGACCUUUUUGUUCAGGGGAAAGGAAAAAAGGACGGCAGUCUAAUACAUUGCGGCCAUGACGGUACCUGAAGAAUAAGCACCGGCUAACUACGUGCCAGCAGCCGCGGUAAUACGUAGGGUGCGAGCGUUAAUCGGAAUUACUGGGCGUAAAGCGUGCGUAGGCGGUUAUGCAAGACAGAUGUGAAAUCCCCGAGCUCAACUUGGGAACGGCAUUUGUGACUGCAUGGCUUGAGUGCGGCAGAGGGGGAGUGGAAUUCCGCGUGUAGCAGUGAAAUGCGUAGAUAUGCGGAGGAACACCGAUGGCGAAGGCAAUCCCCUGGGCCUGCACUGACGCUCAUGCACGAAAGCGUGGGGAGCAAACAGGAUUAGAUACCCUGGUAGUCCACGCCCUAAACGAUGUCAACUGGUUG
rnacentral:rRNA from 1 species